rnacentral:rRNA from 1 species
AUACGGAGGAUCCGAGCGUUAUCCGGAUUUAUUGGGUUUAAAGGGAGCGCAGGCGGAGAUGCAAGCGUGACGUCAAAUUUCGGGGCUCAACCCCGUCUCGCGUCGCGAACUGCGUCCCUUGGUUGCGGGAAGGGGAGGCGGAACUCGUGGUGUAGCGGUGAAAUGCAUAGAUAUCACGAAGAACUCCGAUCGCGAAGGCAGCCUUCCGGCCCGUCAACGACGCUCAUGCUCGAAGGUGCGGGUAUCAAACAGGAUUAGAUACCCUGGUAGUCCGCACAGUAAACGAUGGACACCCGCGGUUUGGCCUAUAUGGCUGAGCCGCCAAGCGAAAGCGUUAAGUGUCCCACCUGGGGAGUACGCCGGCAACGGUGAAACUCAAAGGAAUUGGCGGGG